ensembl:miRNA microRNA 323a
UUGGUACUUGGAGAGAGGUGGUCCGUGGCGCGUUCGCUUUUUUUAUGGCGCACAUUACACGGUCGACCUCUUUGCAGUAUCUAAUC